rnacentral:rRNA from 1 species
UACGGGGGGGGCAAGCGUUGUUCGGAAUUACUGGGCGUAAAGGGCUCGUAGGCGGCCAACUAAGUCAGACGUGAAAUCCCUCGGCUUAACCGGGGAACUGCAUCUGAUACUGGAUGGCUUGAGUUCGGGAGAGGGAUGCGGAAUUCCAGGUGUAGCGGUGAAAUGCGUAGAUAUCUGGAGGAACACCGGUGGCGAAGGCGACAUCCUGGACCGACACUGACGCUGAGGAGCGAAAGCCAGGGGAGCAAACGGG